rnacentral:rRNA from 1 species
UACGUAGGGGGCAAGCGUUGUCCGGAAUCAUUGGGCGUAAAGCGCGUGUAGGCGGUCCGGUAAGUCCGCUGUGAAAGUCGGGGGCUUAACCCUCGGAUGCCGGUGGAUACUGUCGGGCUUGAGUACGGAAGAGGCGAGUGGAAUUCCUGGUGUAGCGGUGAAAUGCGCAGAUAUCGGGAGGAACACCAAUGGCGAAGGCAGCUCGCUGGGACGUUACUGACGCUGAGACGCGAAAGCGUGGGGAGCAAACAGG